UCAGAUACUAGGUUUCUUUGUGAAAGAAUAUACUGGAGAGGAGCAGAGGCCCUGGGAUGAUAGUAGAUCAUGUCUUUAAUGAGAUGCUGGUGGUACAAAAAAGUUAUUAAAAUACACUCUUCUGUUACACCUAUACUUAAGUAUAUCCCACCAUCUCUCAAAUGUGCCUCCUAAAAUGGAAGCAUUCAAACAGGCUGUGAUGUAAAUUAGUACUUUAUAAAUUUUGGAAAAGAAAUACAUAACUCUUUGCCUACAUUCUAAGAAGGGAAAUGUGUAAUUCAGCAAUACUUUCCCGUAUGUUUGAAGAAAGAUUACUUUUGGCUGCAAGAUAUUUUUCCUACAUUAGGUGCUUCUGCUGAGUUCCAGCAUAUUUCUUGAGGAAAAUAAAAAUUGAAAUAAAGUUUACAUCUGCAUAUUUUAACACACCAUUUGGAAGCUAUUACUGCUUUUACCAUUAAUGCUUUUUUGGUUACACUAUAUAUCUGUUGUAUUUCACUAAGACGUAAAAAAGAUAUUUUACAAUAUUGAUUUAUAUAGAUGGUAUUCCCAAGGGGAAAGGAAGGGAAGAAACAGAAACUCCAUAAAACUCUAAAGGUUCCCUCAGUAAGCAGUAAACUGAGAAACUGAGAAGUACAGAAAAAAUCCACUUAAACAAGUUCAAGAAAACAAGGUGGUGUGCCACUUACGUUGAAUUUGUUCCAUUGAAUGUAAUCAGACUCCAGGGUUGAAAACAAGAGGAAAGCAAUUAGACAGACUUUACAGCCAGGCUCUGUGUUGAGCCAGUGAGACUCAAAAGAAUUAAGAAUUGGAGUUUGGCUCUACAGAUCAUCACCCUGGCCUCUUCUA